ACAUGGCAAGUCGAACGAUGAAGUUCCUUCGGGGAUGGGAUUAGUGGCGAACGGGUGAGGAACACGUGAACAAUCUGCCCCUUAACACGGGAAUAACUUCGGGAAACCGAAGCUAAUACCCGAUAUUGGAAAUCCGGUAGGCAUCUACUGGGUUUGAAAUGGUCCGCCGGUAAGGGAUGAGUUCGCGGCCUAUCAGCUUGUUGGUGAGGUAAUGGCUCACCAAGGCGACGACGGGUAGCCGGCCUGAGAGGGCGACCGGCCACACUGGGACUGAGACACGGCCCAGACUCC
rnacentral:rRNA from 1 species